UACGGAGGGUGCAAACGUUGCUCGGAAUCAUUGGGCGUAAAGCGCACGUAGGCGGCUCGUUAAGUCGGGUGUGAAAGCCCUGGGCUCAACCCAGGAAGUGCAUUCGAAACUGGCGAGCUUGAAUAUGGAAGAGGGUCGCGGAAUUCCCGGUGUAGAGGUGAAAUUCGUAGAUAUCGGGAGGAACACCAGUGGCGAAGGCGGCGACCUGGGCCAAUAUUGACGCUGAGGCGCGAAAGCCAGGGGAGCGAACGGG
rnacentral:rRNA from 1 species